AUGACCACAUCAUGUUGAAACACUGGUUUCCCAUGUGAUCAGCAAAGUUAAACAAUGUAGAGCCUGGUCAGUUGCUAGAUGGGUGAUCGCUUUGGAAUACCAGGUGCUGUAAG